rnacentral:lncRNA from 1 species
AGGUCUGUUACGACUGAUAUUUAUCAGCUAUAUCAGCAGGUGCCCACUAGACACUUGGAUGGUAGUUGGGUUUGAAAGUUUAGGGUGCACUUGAGGGUGAGUCUCUUCCUUUGAAAGAUAGCCUAGAGAUGACUUCCGAUCAGAGUCACCCUUAGGAGGAGAGGUUUGGAUAUCUAGUCAGUCUGCACCUAUUAUGUUAUGGAGGAGGAGAUGAUGGCACAUUCCCUCUUUUGGUGUCCACGAGCUAGAGAGGUAUGGAGGCUGGUUGGAUUUCACCAUCAGAUUGAAUAAGUUGAGAAUCCUAUUGGGGCUUUCUUAGACAUGUUGAGAUCGAGAGUGGAGGGUAUUUUAUCUCAAGAUGC